rnacentral:rRNA from 1 species
CCGCAAGGUUAAAACUCAAAUGAAUUGACGGGGGCCCGCACAAGCGGUGGAGCAUGUGGUUUAAUUCGAUGCAACGCGAAGAACCUUACCUGGUCUUGACAUCCACAGAACUUUCCAGAGAUGGAUUUGUGCCUUCGGGAACUGUGAGACAGGUGCUGCAUGGCUGUCGUCAGCUCGUGUUGUGAAAUGUUGGGUUAAGUCCCGCAACGAGCGCAACCCUUAUCCUUUGUUGCCAGCGAU